rnacentral:rRNA from 1 species
GACGAACGCUGGCGGCGUGCCCAAUACAUGCAAGUCGAGCGGAAGUUGGAGAGCUUGCUCUUCAACUUUAGCGGCGGACGGGUGAGUAACACGUGGGCAACCUGCCCUGCAGAUCGGGAUAACUCCGGGAAACCGGUGCUAAUACCGAAUAGUUUUCGCCACCUCCUGGUGGCGUACGGGAAGACGGUUUCGGCUGUCACUGCAGGAUGGGCCCGCGGCGCAUUAGCUAGUUGGUGGGGUAACGGCCCACCAAGGCGACGAUGCGUAGCCGACCUGAGAGGGUGAUCGGCCACACUGGGACUGAGACACGGCCCAGACUCCUACGGGAGGCAGCAGUAGGGAAUCUUCCGCAAUGGACGAAAGUCUGACGGAGCAACGCCGCGUGAGUGACGAAGGUUUCGGAUCGUAAAACUCUGUUGUGAGGGAAGAACAAGUACCAAUUAACUACUGGUACCUUGACGGUACCUCACCAGAAAGCCACGGCUAACUACGUGCCAGCCGCCGCAGUAAUAC